rnacentral:rRNA from 1 species
UACGAAGGGGGCUAGCGUUGCUCGGAAUGACUGGGCGUAAAGGGCGCGUAGGCGGAUGGCUUUGUCGGGCGUGAAAUUCCAGGGCUCAACCUUGGGGCUGCGGUGGGUACGGGCAGACUAGAGUGAUGUAGGGGAGACUGGAAUUCCGGGUGUAGCGGUGGAAUGCGUAGAGAUCCGGAAGAACACCAGUGGCGAAGGCGGCCCGCUGGGCAGUGGCUGACGCUGAGGCGCGACAGCGUGGGGAGCAAACAGG